AGUGCUUGGAUUUUCUUGGUGGAAGCUUAAAACAACAAAAAAUGUCAGAAUAGACAUAAAAUCACACAACUUCUGGCACUUCUGGGACAAGAUCACAGCCAAAGUUCUAACAGUCGACACCACUGCAGAAGGCAUCACUACUGUUACCCUAAUGAGGGGAAAUGGGUUUAUUGGAAGAAAGAGAAGUCACUACUAACUGUCAACGCUUAUGCCGUAAACUAAAAUGGUAAAAAUGGGGUGCAUGAAAAGAAUUCAACAAGGAGGAGAGAAAGUCAUUUUAGGGUGGGCUUACUUGUCAUUCAAAUCAGCGCCCUAAAAGUUCCUGCAACAAGGAGUUAAAACAGAUGCUAUGCAACUGGACCCCAUAAGCCCCACAAAGGGAGGAAAAUGUUUUCACUGUGUAAUUAGUUUUUUGUUUUGCUUGUCAUUGCACAUAUAUUUGAAACAUUAAUGGAGGGAUCAGUAAAAAAGCAUUUGUUUUAUGGUGGGGAAGAUAAAUAAUGUUUACAAAGGAAAAUUUAAAACAUGGUGACUUGAACAUUUUUUUUCUUCCCUACUUGCAGUUUCGCAGAAGAUGCAAAUCUGUCUUGCAUAUUGCUUCCCAGCUGUCACUCUCUGCUUGGCAUGAAAAUUAAAACAAUGAUGACACACACUGCUUAUUAUGCUAAAAUCUGAAAACAAAAGCUUAAGUGGGAAUACAGCAAAACUCCUUAGAUUGAAAAAUUAAUAAUAAAUGCUGGAAACAUAUAGACCAGGAAGAAUCUAAUUGCUGUUUCAUACUGACUGUCAAGCACAUGACACAUAAAUCCAUUGAUUCAUAUAUACAGCUCUUUUAAAUAUAAUUCAAGUUUACGGCUUAUCAACAACUGCAUUUCUUGAAUAUAAAUUAAUAGGUCAUAUUUUAAAAUAUUUGAAGUUUUUUG